GGGGCUGACCUGGAUUUGACAGCUUGGCAAAGUGGUAUGUAAGCAUGUAGAGCGUUGUGGUUCCCGCUCUUAAAUCUCAGGCCUCGAACUUAUAACUGGCGAAAACAAUUACGCUCUCGCUGCUUAAUCGAAUCAUAGUAGAUUAGCUUCAUCCCUGCACUAGGUGCGGGGACGAGACAUCUCCCGGGUGCUAAUGUCCUGAAGCGGCCCGAAACUGAGGUGUAGAUAAAUCGGGAAUAGCCUGAUGGCAGCUCCGGCCAACAGGUGAAACUAAAGGAGCUAAGGCGUGGUUAGGGUGUCUGCCUCCGGACCACACACGAAAAUCAAUGACAGAAUAAACAUGUAGAAAGCAUAUGGCUUCCGGGUUUGGACGAGGGUUCGAUUCCCUCCAGCUCCACAA
rnacentral:tmRNA from 1 species